AACGAACGCUGGCGGCAUGCCUAACACAUGCAAGUCGAACGAGACCUUCGGGUCUAGUGGCGCACGGGUGCGUAACGCGUGGGAACCUGCCCUUGGGUUCGGAAUAACUCCCCGACAGGGGUGCUAAUACCGGAUAAUGUCUUCGGACCAAAGAUUUAUCGCCUUUGGAUGGGCCCGCGUGGGAUUAGCUAGUUGGUAGGGUAAUAGCCUACCAAGGCGACGAUCCAUAGCUGGUCUGAGAGGAUGAUUAGCCACACUGGGACUGAGACACGGCCCAGACUCCUACGGGAGGCAGCAGUGGGGAAUAUUGGAAAAUGGGCGAAAGCCUGAUGCAGCAAUGCCGCGUGAGCGAUGAAGGCCUUAGGGUUGUAAAGCUCUUUUACCCGGGAUGAUAAUGACAGUACCGGGAGAAUAAGCUCCGGCUAACUCCGUG
rnacentral:rRNA from 1 species